CGUGUCCGUGUCCGGCCGACUAACCCGGGUGUUUUCCCGUCCUAGGCGUCUCCGGGACAGCGGAGCGGAGCGGAGCGGGCCGGCCGAGCGACCGCAGCCUCCUGCGUUCUUGUCCUUGUUUCUGCGCUCAAAGUGACCGGAAAAGGAGGAGGGCAGCUGCAGCUCCUGGGGUCAGAGGUGCUACCGCAGCCCGCCCCUCCCCGUGGCAGCUCCUGGGGUCAGCAGCAAAGCCAGAGCAAGGAGCCGGCCGCACUCUUACUCCUGGCCUUUCCCACGGCCACAGGCAGCUCAGCGCCGGGGUAAAGCCACAGCCGCUCAGGGCAGAACACGAGGGGAAGAGCGCUGCAGAAGUUGGCGGAGGAGAGGAGACAGAUUUGUCCCUCGCCCUGGUGACAGGCGAGUAUUAAUUGGGGGGGGGCAGGGAGAGGACUUCCCACUUCCGCUUGGUGCAGAAGGGCAGGGGGACGGAGCCUGCCGGGUGAUCCGAACUGUCCUGCAGUUGUCCCGCUGCACAAGCACUGAAAUCGGGGGAGCUGACUACAGACGGCUGAGACGAUUGCAGAGAGUGGUGACAAACGGCAGACCGUGCGUGCUGUGUGACUAGGCACACGUUGGCUCUAGAUGCUGCCUAGGAAAUUCGGCUGUCCUGGAAAGAGUUAUUGUGCUGUUGGGGGGAAUGAUGUUCCAUUAUUAAAGUGUGUAUAAAAAAAAAAAAAAGAGAGGAAAUUUUAAUCCUGUUUAAGUGGAAAUCUCAACUAUGCAUCACUGUGGUUGUCUCCAUUUUAUUUAUAUGCUCGCAUGCACCUUCAUGGGUAUAAAUACCCAGUAUCUUUUGUGUGGGUCUCUUGAAUGUGCUUAACAGCAGGGAGGUCUCCAGCCUCUAGUCAGCCUUGAAAAGAGCGUAGGUAUUUUCAUCCAGUAAGAGCUGGCCGAACACUUUGGUCACUGGAUCAAGUAGUACGACACAUUUCACCUCUGUCUGGUCUCAGAUGUGUGUGUUCGCAAUUCCACCAUUGCACUGGUGGAGCAAACGCUGGAUACAGCGUUAUACAACUUGAGACUGAACUUACUUAGUGAGCUAACUUUUCUUUAACAAACUGG